GAUUUGCACGAAGUUGAAAAACAAAUCAUGGAGUUUAUGGCUUAUGGCUCCAAUCGAUUCUCUCGCAUCUUCUCCGCUUUGACGUACCAUAAUUUCCCCAAAUUCUAACCAUCUUCUUCAAUCGAUCCCUUUUCUGCUUUUUUUCAAAUGCCGCAAAAAUUCCUCUAUUCUCCUCCAUAACAAUACAAAUCUCCAUCUUUCUCAAAUUCAUCUGCAUAACUGCAUCACAAUAUGAAUCAAACAAUAAAAAAAUGGAAGAUAAUAUAGUACCAAUUGGAAUCGUGCAGUGGAGCGGCGGCCGUAGUCAGAAAAGGGUGGUCCGCGGUUUCGUUCGAUUUCGGCGACUGGUAAUUUAUUUUUAAAUUAGCCCCAAAAUUUUAUAUCAUAUGUUCCGUUGAAUUUGUAACUAAUAUACUUUCAUUUCGUAGGCAAACUUUUAAUAGUGGCGCUGUUAUUGAGAAGUUAAGUUUGCUCGUGAAGAAAUCGUCGAAUGCUGAUGAUUGUGAAGAUGGGAAUCCAUCAAUCAAUUAGAGGAGAAGUUUGGGAAUUUCUACUCAGUUGCUAUGAUGCCAAGAGUACAUUUGAGGAAAGAGAGGAGAUAAGGCAGCGUCGAAGGGUGAAAUAUGCUGAAUGGAAGGAAGAAUGUCGUCAAUUAUUUUCGCUCAUGGGAAGUGGUAGAUUUAUCACAACACCUGUAGUUACUGACGAUGGUCAACCGAUUCAAGAUCCAAUUGUAUCGAGCGUCUACUGCGCAAAUUAAUGAAUAGUAGUCAUCCAAAUGAAAAAGUCGAUUCAGAUUACAAAGCCUUCCCGAUCAUGUGUGAAUGUGGACGAGCUGGUAGAGAUGGCCAGCCUACUUCCUGUGUAUUAUAUUAUAACUACAGUGACUAUGCUAGUACUGAUUACGACACUACUACUUGAAUAUAAAUUUGUAUCUUUUUUUGGAAACAAAUAUAUCAUUCUUAUCACUUGCCAGCAUCAUAUAAAGUAUGUUAACAAUUGCAGGAAAUUACUGAGGGCUUACUCUAAAUGCCA